rnacentral:rRNA from 1 species
GACGAACGCUGGCGGCGUGCUUAACACAUGCAAGUCGAACGGUGAAGGGACCAGCUUGCUGGUUCUGGAUGAGUGGCGAACGGGUGAGUAACACGUGAGUAACCUGCCCCCUUCUUCUGGAUAACCGCAUGAAAGUGUGGCUAAUACGGGAUAUUCUGGGUCUGUCGCAUGGCGGGCCCGGGAAAGAUAUUGCUUCGGUGGGGGAUGGGCUCGCGGCCUAUCAGCUUGUUGGUGGGGUGAUGGCCUACCAAGGCGGUGACGGGUAGCCGGCCUGAGAGGGUGGACGGUCACACUGGGACUGAGACACAGCCCAGACUCCUACGGGACGCAGCAGUGGGGAAUAUUGCACAAUGGGCGCAAGCCUGAUGCAGCGACGCCGCGUGAGGGAUGGAGGCCUUCGGGUUGUAAACCUCUUUCGCCAGUGAAGCAGGCCUGCUCCUUGUGGGUGGGUUGACGGUAGCUGGAGAAGAAGCGCCGGCUAACUACGUG